GCCAGACUCCUACGGGAGGCAGCAGUGGGGAAUAUUGGGCAAUGGGCGCAAGCCUGACCCAGCAACGCCGCGUGAAGGAAGAAGGCUUUCGGGUUGUAAACUUCUUUUAAGAGGGAAGAGUAGAAGACGGUACCUCUUGAAUAAGCCACGGCUAACUACGUGCCAGCAGCCGCGGUAAUACGUAGGUGGCAAGCGUUGUCCGGAUUUACUGGGUGUAAAGGGCGUGUAGCCGGGCCGGCAAGUCAGAUGUGAAAUCCCAAGGCUCAACCGUGGAACUGCAUUUGAAACUGUUGAUCUUGAGUACUGGAGAGGCAGACGGAAUUCCUAGUGUAGCGGGGAAAUGCGUAGAUAUUAGGAGGAACACCAGUGGCGAAGGCGGUCUGCUGGACAGCAACUGACGGUGAGGCGCCAAAGCGUGGGGAGCAAACAGGA
rnacentral:rRNA from 1 species